CUCCGGUUGAUCCUGCCGGACCCGACUGCUAUCGGAUCGAGAUUUAGCCAUGCGAGUUGAACGUUCCUUGAUUGCAGGGAGCGUAGCAUACGGCUCAGUAACACGUAGUCAACCUGCCCUGGAGACAUGGAUAACCCCGGGAAACUGGGACCAAUCCGUGAUAGGUCACUUCAUCUGGAAGGAGAGGUGGCCCAAAGGGGAAUUGUGGGCUUCCACGUUUUUCGCUCCAGGAUGGGACUGCGGCCGAUCAGGCUGUUGGCGGGGUAAUGGCCCACCAAACCUGUAACCGGUACGGGCCUUGAGAGAGGUGGCCCGGAGAUGGACACUGAGACAAGGGUCCAGGUCCUACGGGGCGCAGCAGGCGCGAAACCUUCGCAAUGCGCGAAAGCGUGACGAGGUUAAUCCGAGUGGCUUCCGCUUAGGAAGUCUUUUGCCGACUCUAAAAAGGUCGGAGAAUAAGGGGAGGGCAAGUCUGGUGUCAGCCGCCGCGGUAAUACCAGCUCCUCGAGUGGUCGGGGCGAUUAUUGGGCCUAAAGCAUCCGUAGCCGGUUCCGUAGGUCUCCUGCAAAAUCCAGUCGCUCAACGAUUGGCCCGCAAGAGAUACCGCGGGACUAGGAGGCGGGAGAGGUGGACGGUACUCCACGUGUAGGGGUAAAAUCCUUUGAUCCGUGGAAGACCACCAGAUCGACUGUGGGGAGUUAAAUGCAACGUGCAAAUUAACAACCAUGAGCAUUCCUCGAUUGCUGGGUCACAGUUUCGGGGACGGAUACAUCCACAUCAACAAAUUCUACUUCAUCUACACCAACACUUCGGAUGAACUUCUGAAGUUUGUCACAGAUGAAGUAACAUCGCAAUUCGAUGAGGUCUCGUUCGGCAACAGAACGUCAAUCGGCGGAACCCCGCAAC
rnacentral:rRNA from 1 species